AACAUCUCACCAAGUCGCACUGUGCUCCUAUCACCCGCACCCUUUUGUUCUCCACACCAGGGGCGACGGAGCUCAUCGUCGGUGUUUGAGCUUCGAGCGGGCGGCGCUCCACGCGGGCGGUCUUGUGGAGGGCCUCGUGACUGAGCGCGGGAUCUCUAAUCAACUCGCCGACGACACAAAACAGUGGGCGAGGGUUUCCGCCGGAGGAGCAAAGAGGAAGAGGCAAGUAGUUUUCUUAUGUGGGCAUGGCUUCUGUGAGGUGAGGAAGAUUCUCGUGAUACGGAAGGUCUAUGGACGGAGUAGACGAGGAGGCUGGAUGGACACAUGGUACUAUCCAUAGUUCGGGAGUGCAGUGCAUAUUGGAUCUACUGCGAGAGAUUUUCGUUUCUAUGUCAUUCGGGUGGGAAAUGUUGGGGAGUUAUUGUUCUUAUUGAUAAACUUUGUUGAUACAGUCAUGUCUAUUAGUUAUGAUAGUUCCCUUAUGGUACUGCAAUAUGAUCAUUCAAAUCGUAGUUGUUGAGAGAGAUUGGUUAAAAAAAACUUGGGAUGUUUCACUUGGUAUCAGAGCAAGACUCCUAAGGGGCAGCAUGCGCACGCCAUCUCGUCAAGAACUCGCCUACUUCGGCUUUCAAGUGAGGAAGAUUCUCGUGAUACGGAAGGCCCACGGACGGAGUAGAUGAGGAGGCGGGAUGGACGCAUGGUAUUGUCCCUAGUUUGAGAGUGCAGUGCAUACUGGAUCUACCGCUAGAGACUUUCGUUUCUAUUUCAUUCGGGUGGGGAAUGUUUGGGAGUUAUUGUUCGUAUUGAUAAACAUUUGUUGAUACAGUCAUGUCUAUUGGUUAUGAUAGUUUCCGAGAUUGGAAAAACAAACUUGGGAUGUUUCACUUAGACACAAGAAUUAAACCAUAA